AGAGGAAUAGCAUUCUGCUAAGCAAAAAUUACAAAAAUAUUAUACAGAUAUUUGGAAAAUGAACUAUAAUGACAAAAAUAUAAAUGAAAAGCCGAAAUCUAAGCGUGAUUUAGGCCCAAAAAAACCAAACCCCUAAAUUAUUCUACUAAGCAAAAACAAGAAAAGAAAAAUAUAUCAACUAAAAACAGAGAGGAAAAUUAUUCAGCGGAUAUUACAAAAAAUAUUCUGCUAGGCAAGAACAAGAAAAUAUUUUCUACACUUAGAGGAUUGACGACAAUUUUCCACACUUUAGGAGCCAAAGCGACGGCGCAUUUGACGCUCACUAAACCCGAAACUCGCUACAGGAAGAGAAAAAUUAGGUAUCUAUCUCACGAAAGAACACAGGAAACAAACAAAAAGAACAAACAGAAUGAGAUCCAUAUAUUUCAAACACGGAAAGAAACAAAAUGGAACUAAUGUCAUGUUAUUUGGAAAAGAAACUAUAAUGACAAAAAUAUAAAUGAUAAGCCGAAAUCUAAGCGUGACUCAGGCCCAAAAAAACCUUACCCCAAAAUUAUUCUGCUAAGCAAAAACAAGAAAAGGUUUUCUACACUUACACGAUUGAGGCGAUUUUCUACACUUAGGGAGCCGAUGCGACGGCGCGUUUAACGCUCACCAAACCCGAAACUCGAUCUGAUUUGAACCGUUCGCUCUUGGUUUACAUCGCAGUAUGCAUAUACAGGAAGAGAUCAAUAAAACAACCAGAAUGAAAUCAAUAGAUUUGAAACACAUAAAGAAACAGUGAUGUCUAAACCUGAAAACUAAUAAUCAUAAAGUAAACCAACUGAAAUAGAAGUAAAAAAAACAUAGUUCUAAAACUAAAAAUAGAAAUGAAAAGGCAAAAGACAAAGAGAAAUACAAAAAUGAAAACGUAAACACAAGUAAAGAUUCAUACCUGAAAUCAGUCACCGACAAAGCAACCAAAAAGAAACAGACACCCACAACAAUAGAUUUCAAACACAAAGCGAAAACAGGGGAUUUCAAUAUCACCAAAAAAGAAAGAAAGAAACGGCAGACAAAUCUUUGGGUUUCACCCUCUCACGAAAAAGAACGAGGGGAAAUAUUGAAAUAAGACAGAGAGAGAGAGAGAGAGAGAGAUAAUGGGAAGGAAGCGGGAUAUGAAAAGUCUGAAGAAAACGGGUAGCUUUCUCCUAACCGUCACUGCCCAAAAAGAAUAAACUUUCUAAUUCCCCAUGUGACAACGGUAACAUUUAUGGUAAUUAAUACCUUAAUUAAAUUACUAAUUUUAUGGGGGGGGAAUUAAAGACAUAGAAGGUAAAGAGACGUUAGGGAAAAGGAGGGGGCAAUGGGAGAUAAUAAAUGAGAAAUAAAUAUGAAAAAUGCUUUCAUUCCCAAUUAACAGACAGAGAAGUAAAAGAAACGUUAGAAAAAAAAAAGAGAAAGGAAAGAAGAGACUUUACUUGGUCAGGCCAAAGACUACAAACCUGAACCAACAACGCCCCAAACCCACACAGUUUAACACACCACACUCCAAAACAGAUAAUGGCAAAGAUUCAAAUGAUCGACCCGUAAUUCCAAACUAAAAGUUGUGUAAAAACGAUAAUGGCAAAGAUUCAAAUGAGAAGAAUCUGUAGGAGAAGAGAAAUAAGGAGUCAAACUGUGAAACAAAGGCACAAAUUCUUACCCGAGAGUCGAUCUGAGCCAAAACCCAACAAACGAAGCGGUGGAGUUUUAUUGCCGGAGAUAUAUCAGGAGGAGAGAGAUUGAAAUAGAGGUUAUUCAUAAAUCCUACAACAAAGGAUUUUGAAGCCCAUUUUCAAUUAAAAAGAAACCUCAUCCCCAAUUCUUUUUUAAUAAUUUACAAGGCUAAUAUAUUAUAGGUAUAUAUUUUGGUCCCUGAAAUUACUAUUCCAUUUAGUCCGAAACCCAGUAAUCCAAAA
rnacentral:lncRNA from 1 species